AGCAGGAUGUGGGCGGGGCCAAAUAAGAGACUAAAAGCUGGCCACGCAGCAACCCGCUGGGGUCCUUUCCUGUGGUGUGGAAACGUUUUUUCGCUCUUCACAGUAAGUCUUGCUGCUGCUCACUCUUUGGGGCCACAGUACCUUUAUGAGCUAUAACACCGCGAAGGUCUGCAGCUUCAUUCCUGAGGCCAGCGAGACCGUCAACCCACUGGGAGGAAUGAACAACUUUGGAUGCACCACCUUUAAGAACUGUAACACUCGCUGCAAAGGUCUGUGGCCUCACUUCUGAAGUCAGCAAGACCACGAACCCACCAGAAGGAAGAAAUUCCAGACACAUCUGAACAUCUGAAGGAACAAACUUCGGACAGACCAUCUUUAAGAACUGUAACACUCACUGAGAGGGUCCGCAGCUCCAUUUUGAAGUCAGCGAGACCAAGAAUCCACCGGAAGGAACCAAUUCUGGACACAGUACCUGAUAGUUCUGGAAGCUGGACAUUUGAGACAAAGGUGCAGCAGGGUUGGCUCCUUACAAGGACUAUGAAGGGGAAAUUCAUGCCUCUCUCCUAGAUUCGUUGGCUUCUUCUGCAUCAUUCCAAUCUCUGCCUUCCUCUUCACAGGGUGUUCUUCCAGUUUGGAUGUGAUAGGAACCCCUACCUACAAAGUCAUGAAAUGCCUUCCUGAAUCACCUCCCCAACCUCCUAGUGAUGGAAUAGCAACUAUUUCUUUGCUGGGAACACAACAGUUCAUAUACC